UGAUAUACUUCACAGAACCUUU
rnacentral:piRNA from 1 species